rnacentral:rRNA from 1 species
GAUCCUGGCUCAGGACGAACGCUGGCGGCGUGCUUAACACAUGCAAGUCGAACGGGCCUUGUCCUCUUUUUUUUGGGGGUGGGGUUAGUGGCGAACGGGUGAGUAACACGUGAGUAACCUGCCCCUCACUUCUGGAUAACCGCUUGAAAGGGUGGCUAAUACGGGGUGUUCUGGCCUGCUCGCAUGGGUGGGUUUGGAAAGAUUCGACCGGUUUUGGUUGUUUUGGUGGGGGAUGGGCUCGCGGCCUAUCAGCUUGUUGGUGGGGUGAUGG